AAAUUGCUUUGUAGUAUUUAAAGGCAGAAUGGAUCCUGGGCAGCCGAGCUGGAAUACCACUAAGAUAAUUUUUUCCAGAAUCCCCCCCAUGCCAGUAAUGGAAAAACAAAAUGGAACAAAGGAAAAAUAAGGUAUUAUGGAGAUUACUUGGUAACAAUUGAGACGAACAUUUUUACCACAAAACUAUCACUUACAGAUAUAAGUUAAGAACAUUAUUAUGUAUGACCUUUUUAAAACGUGUGGUAUUUUUUUUUUCUCUUCCCAACAUGGUAAUGCCUGAUUGAAGCAUAGUAGCAGUUAGCUGAUCUUAUAUAAUAGUGGGAUUGUUUAUAUGAACAAGACAUAAGAAACCUAUUUCAGUGAACCAAAAAAGGAUAAACUUUAAUCAGAACACAAGAGAUUUUAUUCAAAGGCAGCGUCUUUCUAAAAUCCUUUUUUAAUCUCUAAAAUAAAGGGAAUGGACGAAUGAUCUCUGAGGUCCUUUCCUAAAAUGUCACCUGACAGCAUAAAACCUGACUUCCUAAUAAAGGAUAAUGCUGCAUUGAAUUAGGCCAAAGCGAUUUACUGAAACAAAAAUAUGAGAAACCCCUAUUAAUCAACUGAGUGAAGAAAUCUAUGAUUGGCUUAUGGCUUAUUCUUUUUUCUUUUUUUUUUUGUAAUAACAACGACAAAUAAAGUAGAAAUGAAUCUGAGUUAAAAUAAUGAUGUUAAAAUAAUAUUGUCAAUAUGAAACCAAAGCUUUCAGCAUUUCAACUUUAACCUAAGAUUAAAUUGCACAUUUAGAUAAUAUGUAUUUGCUUAUAUUUAUACAAUUACAUUUUAAAUACAAUGAAUGCUAGGAGUAUUUUUUACUUUUCCAUAUCUGAUAGCAUUAAUUAGGGUGAACUAGGUGGAGCUUGAUAGUUCUAGUUAAUGGCAAUGACACUUUAUUUGUCAGGAAGCACAUUUUCUGGCUGACUCAGCUGUCCAAAACCCAGCCAUAAACCCCAAAUAUGUGGGAAAUAGCCCCUAAACAAUUUAAUAACCUUGUUGAACACACACACAUGCAUAUAUACAUUGUGUAGAUAAGUAAAACUUAUAUAGACUAUAUAUUUAUGUAUUAUAAA
rnacentral:lncRNA from 1 species